GCUUCCCGCUUUCUUCGUGCCUAAUACAUGCAAGUCGAGCGAACAGACGAGGAGCUUGCUCCUUUGACGUUAGCGGCGGACGGGUGAGUAACACGUGGGUAACCUACCUAUAAGACUGGGAUAACUUCGGGAAACCGGAGCUAAUACCGGAUAAUAUUUCGAACCGCAUGGUUCGAUAGUGAAAGAUGGCUUUGCUAUCACUUAUAGAUGGACCUGCGCCGUAUUAGCUAGUUGGUAAGGUAACGGCUUACCAAGGCAACGAUACGUAGCCGACCUGAGAGGGUGAUCGGCCACACUGGAACUGAGACACGGUCCAGACUCCUACGGGAGGCAGCAGUAGGGAAUCUUCCGCAAUGGGCGAAAGCCUGACGGAGCAACGCCGCGUGAGUGAUGAAGGUCUUCGGAUCGUAAAACUCUGUUAUUAGGGAAGAACAAACGUGUAAGUAACUGUGCACGUCUUGACGGUACCUAAUCAGAAAGCCACGGCUAACUACGUG
rnacentral:rRNA from 1 species